AGUGAACGCUGGCGGUAGGCCUAACACAUGCAAGUCGAACGGCAGCACAGUAAGAGCUUGCUCUUACGGGUGGCGAGUGGCGGACGGGUGAGGAAUACAUCGGAAUCUACUUUUUCGUGGGGGAUAACGUAGGGAAACUUACGCUAAUACCGCAUACGACCUACGGGUGAAAGCAGGGGAUCUUCGGACCUUGCGCGAUUGAAUGAGCCGAUGUCGGAUUAGCUAGUUGGCGGGGUAAAGGCCCACCAAGGCGACGAUCCGUAGCUGGUCUGAGAGGAUGAUCAGCCACACUGGAGCUGAGGCACGGUCCAGCCUCCUCCGGGGGGCAGCAGUGGGGACUAUUGGACAAUGGGCGCACGCCUGUACCAGCCUUACCGCCUGGGUGAAGAAGGCCUUCGGGUUGUAAAGUCCUUUUGUUGGGAAAGAAAAGAAGCAGGCUAAGACCCCGCUGUUCUGCCGCUACCCAAAGACUAAGCACCGGCUAACUUCGU
rnacentral:rRNA from 1 species